CCAACACUGAGAUCAUUCCGCACGUGCACGAGCCUGAGUGACUUCGCGGGAGAAACAGCUCUGCCAUCUUGCCAAGUUCACGAGUCAGGGUGUGGCCAAAGGUUUCAUUGGUGCUUUGUCAUCACUGCAAGAUUUCAGAUGCAACCCAGUCAGUUCUUCCAAGGCACCAAACACCAGACCGCUCCACUGCAACUACAUACUGUGUACCUUCAAGACUAGGAGUUUAUUGUUUUCAUUCCAGGUCACCAUAGCCACCCAGAUCCAGUCCGUAUCCAGAUCAGAUGGUGGAUCAGCACCUAGAGACGACCUCUACAGCCCUGAACGUCAGCGGAGACCAUGUCAGCUAGAUGAGCUCCAGAGACAGAUCCCCAGUGAAGACCUCGUUGGCCAUCGGGACAAGACCACGAGAACCAGACAAGUCCUCUGCUCAAUCUGACCUGUGCUGGAAUUAAACCAUGCCAUGCUGGUUUUGUCUGGCCAGAGGAGAACUGCCCCUCGACUGAGCCUGGUUUUUCCCAAGGUUUUCUACUCAGUUUCUGUCACCGAUGGAUUUGAGUCCUUGCCGCUGUCUCCUUUGGUUUGCUUAUUUGGGGACGCUUGGCUGAUUGCAUAGACACUAUUGGAAGAGAGCUGAACUGAAUGAUGAUUUCAUUGAAUCAUCAAUUAACUGACUUUAACUGGAAAAAUGACUUGUUAAUGUCCUCUUGCAUUAUUAACGAACUAUUUUCCUGUUUGACUGUAAAGCUGCUUUGACACGAUCAGUAUUGUAUAAAGUGCAUUAUAAAUAAAGAUGACUUGACUUGA